AUGUGUAUGGUGUGGGAGGGGGAGGGGGAAGAACUUUUUCUCACGGUGACUGGCUCGGACUCGGUCGGUGAUGCGUAUCAUCAUUCAGUCUCUGAAGGAAAACGCAUGGACAGUAGCAGCUGCAUCAAGAGGACGCGAUUUUUCAACAUUCAUGUCCAGCUUUGCUCAGCGGUGGUUUGUGAGCGUGGAGGGCUAGGUUGUCAGUGAGGGAGUGUCCUUUGUGCUGGGGCUUGCUGUUCUAAUGUCAACUUUUUACAACUUUAACCUGCAAUACCAGGACAAUGCUGCAUGGUCGUUGGAGUUCAUUCAGAGAAUCUGCAUGGGGAUUAAUCCUGAGAGAGGAUCAAAGGCAUACAGUGGACAGGCACCCAGCAGAAAAACUGGAAAGAUGGUCCAGAAGAAACCAUCAACAGUGAACCUGCAUGUCUGCACCCUAAUCAGGAAGCUCAACGACUUCAAGUGGGACUUUGUUUGAUCUUCUCUCAUAGCAUUGUAUUGUUUAGGUGCAGA